rnacentral:rRNA from 1 species
ACGCUCGACACCUACGGAGGCAGCAGUGGGGAAUAUUGCACAAUGGGGGAAACCCUGAUGCAGCAACGCCGCGUGAAGGAAGACGGCUUUCGGAUUGUAAACUUCUGUUCUUAGUGAAGAUAGUGACGGUAGCUAAGGAGCAAGCCACGGCUAACUACGUGCAAGCAGCCGCGGUAAUCUGAGCGGGCUGGCAAGGC